rnacentral:rRNA from 1 species
GCAGUCGAGCGAACGGACGAGAGUGCUUGCACUCUCUGAAGUUAGCGGCGGACGGGUGAGUAACACGUGGGUAACCUACCUAUAAGACUGGGAUAACUUCGGGAAACCGGAGCUAAUACCGGAUAAUAUUUAGCUUCGCAUGAAGCAAUAGUGAAAGACGGUUCUGCUGUCACUUAUAGAUGGACCCGCGGUGUGUUAGCUAGUUGGUGAGGUAACGGCUCACCAAGGCAACGAUACAUAGCCGACCUGAGAGGGUGAUCGGCCACACUGGGACUGAGACACGGCCCAGACUCCUACGGGAGGCAGCAGUAGGGAAUCUUCCGCAAUGGACGAAAGUCUGACGGAGCAACGCCGCGUGAGUGAAGAAGGUUUUCGGAUCGUAAAACUCUGUUGUAAGGGAAGAACAAGUACGUUAGUAACUGAACGUACCUUGACGGUACCUUACCAGAAAGCCACGGCUAACUACGUGCCAGCAGCCGCGGUAAUACGUAGGUGGCAAGCGUUAUCCGGAAUUAUUGGGCGCAAAGCGCGCGUAGGCGGUCUCUUAAGUCUGAUGUGAAAGCCCCCGGCUCAACCGGGGAGGGUCAUUGGAAACUGGGAGACUUGAGUGCAGAAGAGGAGAGUGGAAUUCCAUGUGUAGCGGUGAAAUGCGCAGAGAUAUGGAGGAACACCAGUGGCGAAGGCGGCUCUCUGGUCUGUAACUGACGCUGAGGUGCGAAAGCGUGGGGAUCAAACAGGAUUAGAUACCCUGGUAGUCCACGCCGUAAACGAUGAGUGCUAAGUGUUGGGGGGUUUCCGCCCCUCAGUGCUGCAGCUAACGCAUUAAGCACUCCGCCUGGGGAGUACGGUCGCAAGACUGAAAACUCAAAGGAAUUGACGGGGAACCGGCACAAGCGGUGGAGCAUGUGGUUUAUUUCGAAGCAACGCGAAGAACCUU